GGAAGGAAGGAAGGAAGGAGGGACAGAGAGAGAGUGGGAGGAAGGCAGGCUGGGAGGAGGAGAAGGAGGAGAGAGCAGCCGCCGGAGCUGGAGGGACGCGAGGGCGGCGCCCGGGGAUUUGAGCCGAGAGAAGCAGAGCGAGCUUAAGAGGUAGGGCAUCGGGUGGAGAGCCGAGGGCCAGGGGGCAGGCACCAUGGGCCCAUGCUUGGGCGUCUGGCUGGUGGCAUCGGCACUGCUGGGCCUGGGCAAUGGGGACAAUGCCUGGUGGAACCCUGUGCCCAGGAAGACGGUGUCCUAUGGGGAAUUGGCAGCUGUGGUGAGGCGGUUCUCUCAAGUGGGAAUCCAAGACUUUCUAACGCUGACACUGGUGGAGAACAAUGGGGUCCUCUAUGUGGGGGCCCGAGAAGCCCUUUUUGCCCUCAGCUUGGAGACCCUGGAGCUGCAAUCAGCGAUCACAUGGGAGGCCACAGUGGAGAAGAAGGCUGAAUGCAUCCAGAAGGGGAAGAGCAACCAGACGGAGUGUUUCAACUUCAUCCGCUUCCUGCAGCCGUACAACUCUUCACAUUUAUAUGCCUGUGGGACCUAUGCCUUCCAGCCUAAAUGCACCUAUAUUGAUAUACUCACCUUCUCUCUGGAACAUGGGGAGCUUGAAGAUGGGAAGGGCAAAUGUCCCUAUGACCCCACCAAAGGCCACACUGGCCUCAUUGUGGAUGGUGAGUUGUAUUCAGCAACACUCAACAACUUUCUGGGUACAGAACCAGUAAUUCUGCGCAACCUGGGACCUCACUACUCCAUGAAGAACGAAUACCUUUACUCUUGGCUCAAUGAACCCCAUUUUGUAGGCUCUGCCUACGUGCCAGAAAGUGUGGGGAGCCCCAUUGGUGAUGACGACAAGAUCUACUUCUUCUUCAGUGAACGGGCUGUGGAGUACAACUGCUAUGCUGAGCAGGUGGUGGCUCGAGUGGCUCGGGUUUGCAAGGGAGAUAUGGGAGGUGCACGGACGCUGCAGAGGAAAUGGACCACGUUCUUGAAGGCCCGGCUGGUAUGUGCUGCUCCUGAUCGGCAGCUCUACUUCAAUCAACUUCAGGCCCUGCAUACCCUGCAAGAAGGCAACUGGCUCAACACAACCUUCUUUGGGGUCUUUCGGGCCAGAUGGGGAGAUGUGGACCUGUCAGCUGUGUGCCAGUACCAACUAGAAGACAUUCAGCGAGUGUUUGAGGGGCCCUACAAAGAGUAUCAGCAACAAGCACAGAAGUGGGGUCCUUACACUGACCCAGUCCCUAGUCCUCGGCCUGGCUCAUGCAUCAACAAUUGGCACCGACGUCAUGGCUACACCAGUUCUCUGGAGUUGCCUGAUAACACCCUGAACUUCGCUAAGAAACACCCACUGAUGGAGGGACAGGUGGGACCUCGGUGGGGUCGACCCCUGCUGGUGAAGAAGGAUGCCAACUUCACCCACCUGGUAGCCGAUCGAGUGAAGGGGCUUGAUGACGUGACCUAUGAUGUGCUGUUCAUUGGGACAGGGGAUGGCUGGCUCUACAAGGCUGUGAACUUGGGUGCUUGGGUCCAUGUGAUUGAAGAAUUACAGGUGUUUGAUAAGGAACCGGUAGAGAGCCUUGUCCUGUCCUAUGAUAAGAAGCUGCUCUUUGCUGGUUCCCGAUCACAGCUGGUUCAGCUUCCCCUAGCAGACUGCAGCAAGUACAGAUCCUGUGCUGACUGUAUCCUUUCCCGUGAUCCCUACUGUGCUUGGAGCACCAACACCAGCCGAUGUGUGCCCCUUCACGGUCACCUGAAAUCUCCACUUAUCCAGGAUGUGCUGAACUCAACUACAAACCUUUGCAACCUUCGACCCAGCAAGAAAGUCAAAAUUACUCCCAAGAACAUCACUGUGGUGGCAGGUACAGAUUUAGUCCUCCCGUGUCGCCUCUCCUCCAACCUAGCACAUGCUCGUUGGACUUUUGGAGGCCGAGAACUGCCGGCUGAACAGCCCGGUUCACUGCUCUAUGACGUCCGACUGCAGGCCCUGGUGGUGUUAGCGGCCCAGCCACGUCAUGCUGGUGCCUAUCAUUGUUUCUCGGAGGAACAGGGAGCACGGCUGGCUGCUGAGGGCUACCUGGUGGCAGUAGUAGCUGGUCCGUCAGUGACACUGGAAGCCCGAGCCCCCUUGGAGAAUCUGGGGUUGGUAUGGCUUGCAGUAGUAGCCCUAGGGGCCUUGUGCUUGGUACUACUGCUUCUGGUGUUAUCACUUCGACGUAGAUUGCGUGAAGAGUUAGAAAAAGGGGCUAAAGCAGCUGAGAGAACCCUAGUAUAUCCAUUGGAGUUGCCCAAGGAGCCCACCAGCCCUCCCUUCCGGCCUGGGACUGAUACUGAUGAGAAACUCUGGGACCCAGUUGGCUAUUACUACUCAGAUGGCUCACUAAAGAUUGUACCUGGCCAUGCCCGCUGCCAGCCUGGUGGAGGACCCCCUUCCCCACCUCCUGGAAUCCCAGGCCAGCCCCUUCCUUCUCCAACCCGACUUCACCUGGGGGGUGGACGCAGCUCAAAUGCCAAUGGUUAUGUGCGGCUGCAGCUAGGCGGAGAUGAUCGGGCGGGGCCUGUGCAUCCUUUGCCUGAGUUAGCAGAUGAACUGAGGCGAAAACUGCAGCAGCGCCAGCCAUUGCCUGACUCAAACCCCGAAGAGUCAUCGGUAUGAGAGGAGCCCCCCCACAAUGGGGGGGUGCAGCUCCGACUUUUGCACAGGCACCAGCUACCUCAGGGACAUGGCUGCAGGCUCCUGCUUUGUCUGGGAUAGACCCUAGCUAGGGAACUGCCCUGACUAGGUUGGCUCCUACCCAGAAACCUGCUCUGCCAUGGGGACCAGCCAUGUGGGUUUGCUCUGUUCUGGUCACCAACCCCACAGAUGGCCUCUUCUUCCUUACAUAGAGAGGAGGCCAAGGAUCCUGCAGACAGACCUUUGGCCCCAGCAGCCAAAAUCUUUUCAAGACAGAAAUUCCAGUCUUCCCUGGCCUGGGGUCCUCCUAAGGGCUUCUUCCUGGACCUAUGAAGGGGAAGAGGCCUGGGUUUGUACCACUCUGCCUUCUUUGCCCCCACCUGCCCAGAGGCCUGUGAUGGUAUAUAACCCCUUCUCAAGGGAAGGGAGAAUAGUGGGGCAGAGAUGUACAUAUGGGGGUGGGAGAGGGAGGUAGGGUUGUACCCCCUUUUGAAAGUAAAUGCUCAGGGGUGGGCCUGGGCCUAUUCUUAGGGCUGUGAA